GACGAACGCUGGCGGCGUGCCUAAUACAUGCAAGUAGAACGCUGAAGGAGGAGCUUGCUCUUCUGGAUGAGUUGCGAACGGGUGAGUAACGCGUAGGUAACCUGCCUGGUAGCGGGGGAUAACUAUUGGAAACGAUAGCUAAUACCGCAUAACAGUAGAUGUUGCAUGACAUUUGCUUAAAAGGUGCAAUUGCACCACUACCAGAUGGACCUGCGUUGUAUUAGCUAGUUGGUGGGGUAACGGCUCACCAAGGCGACGAUACAUAGCCGACCUGAGAGGGGGGGUGGCCACACUGGGACGGAGACACGGCCCAGACUCCUACGGGAGGCAGCCAGAGGGAAUCUUCGGCAAUGGACGGAAGUCUGACCGAGCAACGCCGCGUGAGUGAAGAAGGUUGUCGGAUCGUAAAGCUCUGUUGUAAGAGAAGAACGAGUGUGAGAGUGGAAAGUUCACACUGUGACGGUAUCUGACCAGAAAGCGACGGCUAACUACGUG
rnacentral:rRNA from 1 species